rnacentral:tRNA from 1 species
GGUGUUGUAGCUUAGUGGUAGAGCGCUUGCUUACCAUGUAUGAGGCACUGGGUUCGAUUUUCAGCACCA